rnacentral:rRNA from 1 species
AAGUCGAGCGGUAAGGCCCUUCGGGGUACACGAGCGGCGAACGGGUGAGUAACACGUGGGUGAUCUGCCUUGCACUCUGGGAUAAGCCUGGGAAACUGGGUCUAAUACCGGAUAUGAGCCUGGACUGCAUGGUCUGGGUUGGAAAGGUUUACUGGUGCGAGAUGGGCCCGCGGCCUAUCAGCUUGUUGGUGGGGUAACGGCCUACCAAGGCGACGACGGGUAGCCGACCUGAGAGGGUGACCGGCCACACUGGGACUGAGACACGGCCCAGACUCCUACGGGAGGCAGCAUAGGGGAAUAUUGCACAAUGGGCGAAAGCCUGAUGCAGCGACGCCGCGUGAGGGAUGACGGCCUUCGGGUUGUAAACCUCUUUUGACAGGGACGAAGCGCAAGUGACGGUACCUGUAGAAGAAGCACCGGCCAACUACGUGCCAGCAGCCGCGGUAAUACGUAGGGUGCGAGCGUUGUCCGGAAUUACUGGGCGUAAAGAGCUUGUAGGCGGUCUGUCACGUCGAUUGUGAAAACUUGCAGCUCAACUGCAAGCUUGCAGUCGAUACGGGCAGACUAGAGUACUUCAGGGGAGACUGGAAUUCCUGGUGUAGCGGUGAAAUGCGCAGAUAUCAGGAGGA